rnacentral:rRNA from 1 species
GACGAACGCUGGCGGCGUGCUUAACACAUGCAAGUCGAACGGAAAGGCCCUGCUUUUGUGGGGUGCUCGAGUGGCGAACGGGUGAGUAACACGUGAGUAACCUGCCCUUGACUUCGGGAUAACUUCAGGAAACUGGGGCUAAUACCGGAUAGGAGCUCCUGCUGCAUGGUGGGGGUUGGAAAGUUUCGGCGGUUGGGGAUGGACUCGCGGCUUAUCAGCUUGUUGGUGGGGUAGUGGCUUACCAAGGCUUUGACGGGUAGCCGGCCUGAGAGGGUGACCGGCCACAUUGGGACUGAGAUACGGCCCAGACUCCUACGGGAGGCAGCAGUGGGGAAUAUUGCACAAUGGGCGGAAGCCUGAUGCAGCAACGCCGCGUGCGGGAUGACGGCCUUCGGGUUGUAAACCGCUUUCGCCUGUGACGAAGCGUGAGUGACGGUAAUGGGUAAAGAAGCACCGGCUAACUACGUGCCAGCAGCCGCGGUGAUACGUAGGGUGCGAGCGUUGUCCGGAUUUAUUGGGCGUAAAGGGCUCGUAGGUGGUUGAUCGCGUCGGAAGUGUAAUCUUGGGGCUUAACCCUGAGCGUGCUUUCGAUACGGGUUGACUUGAGGAAGGAAGGGGAGAAUGGAAUUCCUGGUGGAGCAGUGGAAUGCGCAGAUAUCAGGAGGAACACCAGUGGCGAAGGCGGUUCUCUGGGCCUUUCCUGACGCUGAGGAGCGAAAGCGUGGGGAGCGAACAGGCUUAGAUACCCUGGUAGUCCACGCUGUAAACGGUGGGUACUAGGUGUGGGGUCCAUUCCACGGGUUCCGUGCCGUAGCUAACGCUUUAAGUACCCCGCCUGGGGAGUACGGCCGCAAGGCUAAAACUCAAAGGAAUUGACGGGGCCCCGCACAAGCGGCGGAGCAUGCGGAUUAAUUCGAUGCAACGCGUAGAACCUUACCUGGGUUUGACAUGGAUCGGGAGUGCUCAGAGAUGGGUGUGCCUCUUUUGGGGUCGGUUCACAGGUGGUGCAUGGCUGUCGUCAGCUCGUGUCGUGAGAUGUUGGGUUAAGUCCCGCAACGAGCGCAACCCUUGUUCACUGUUGCCAGCACGUUAUGGUGGGGACUCAGUGGAGACCGCCGGGGUCAACUCGGAGGAAGGUGGGGAUGACGUCAAGUCAUCAUGCCCCUUAUGUCCAGGGCUUCACGCGUGCUACAAUGGCUGGUACAGAGAGUGGCGAGCCUGUGAGGGUGAGCGAAUCUCGGAAAGCCGGUCUCAGUUCGGAUCGGGGUCUGCAACUCGACCUCAUGAAGUCGGAGUCGCUAGUAAUCGCAGAUCAGCAACGCUGCGGUGAAUACGUUCCCGGG